GAAGUGACAAUCUCACCUGGAAGUGCAGGUGGAGAGAAGGGGCAGACAGGAGACAGGUCUCUACCUCAGACUCUGAACUCCUCAAGGACUCUGCUUGACACAGUCAGGGCUCAGUAAACGCUCACCUGAGUGAAGGCAUCCGGGCCUACCUGCUGCAUCCUGAGGCUCCCAGCCUGGCUGGGGAGACAGAAUGAACCGACAUGAAACAUGUCAAGAACUGAGCAUGAACGGAGGCCAAGUGUGAACAAUGAGGAAGAGGCAUAGUUCAUCACUUCUCAUUGGGAGAAAGACUUUAAAGGAACAAGAGCUUGAGGAUCAGAAUUGCCAAGCUUCACCUAGACUGCUUGACUGAAGCUGUUUCCUGCAGCUCUCCGUCCUCCUGCUGUGAUACUAUUCUAGACUGUUGGGAAGUGUUCUACUAAGUGUUUCUUAGUAGAAACUUAGUAGUUUCUGUUGAUCCUAUCCCAUGGGUCUUGGGGGUGAGGUUUCCUCCACAGAGCCUAACGGAGGUCUUGCCCAGUGGAGGGCUGACAAGGUGGUCUCUUUCUGCAGGUGUAGGGAAGGAGGAUCUGAGACGAGGCAAUAAAGUUGGGAACUGAGUGUACCCACGAGGGGAUAUCCUGUGAAAAAGUUGAAGAGGUUUUGGCUGUUUUCCCCUUGGGCAGUUAUGUGACAUUUACAAUUUUAAAUGAUUUCUUCCAGCUGUAUUUCCUACAGGAAUUCCUGCCCCUUCAGUGAAGUCUGUUGCAUACACGUGGGCCUUGAGUUCACGGCGCUAGAGGGGGCAGGUUAAGGCGUGGACUGGAUCAGAGAGAAACAGACAUUGCGGCAACAGUCCAGGAGAGACGGGACAAGGGUCCAAGGAUGGCCAAGUGAUGUGACCCCCUCAGAGGACAAGAUGAUCCACACCUUAUUCAUCUCUGUGUUGCUGAGUGGGCUCCAUGAAUGCACUGACAAAGCCACCUUUAUAUCACCAAGUAUCCUUCUGUGUGUUUCUUUUUUCC